AUUGGCUGACGAGUCCCAAAUAGGACGAAAUGCUCAUCCUGGAU
rnacentral:hammerhead_ribozyme from 1 species